AACAUGCACGCAAACUCACAACAAACUGCAAGCAUGCCAAAAAAAAAACUCUGUAAAAGCCCACCGUCUCUGUGAGUCACUGUACCGUUGCCGCACUGUUCUCCCUUUCCACCGUCGCUAGUCGGCUUUGAGUGCAGUGAGUCGCCGCUGCCCGCACCAUCGGCACGGGGAACCUUUACGAGUUGCCCGGGCCACGCUUUACUAGAGUGCUUGUGCUGACUAGAGAAAAAAAGCCAAUGAAGCCACAUGGACUCGCUGUGGUGCCAUCCAUUGUGCAACCCUCGCCGUUCCUCACUCGCGCCAUCUGCGCCCUUUACUGGAAAGACACUUUUCUCGGCAGCUGCGUGGCCAUCGCCCCGUCCAUUGUGAUGACUGCGGGUCAUCACUACAACGCCGUCCGCGACGAUGUCGGCGACUUCAGCGUUUUGACACGGCCCGGGCACUGGACGGCGGUCGAGUACGCGUCAAAGGAUAGCACAUAUGACGUUGUGGUGUUCUGGCUCUGCGAGGAAGUGACGACGCACACCUCGCUGCGAGGGUAUCUGCCCGCGGUGGGGGCACAGGUGGCGACUGUAUGGUUGUCCCCUAAGCCACCACACGACGCGAUUGUGUCGCCAGGCGUCGUGAUGGAGAGCGAGGCAGAGAAGUGCGUGGCGCGCGGCACUGUGAGCAUGACCGGAUCGAGCGGCGCACCUGUGGUGGACGUCUUUGGUGAGCACAUUGUCGGUCUCCAUCUCACGUCCAACACGCGUGACGGCUCACGUGUGUCUGGGUUCAUACCGUCACGCAAGCUGGUCUCUCUUUUCGCCGAGAUGUGGGUCGAGCACGCCCGUGUCUUGUCGUCCGCAUAGGUACCGGCAGCUCCGACCCCCCGUUGGAUGCCGCGCGACCUCUUUUUUUUUCAGCUUCUUCACCGUGAUGCUGGGAGGCUGCUCCGAGAGCUUGUGCUGCGUCUUUGCAGCUCCACUGUGGAAUAUGCGCGUCUGCGUGUGUACAUGUGCGCGCUUUGUUCUCGGCGCUCCUGCGCCCUUCGCGCCAUUUGUGAACACGGAAGAAAGCAGCUCGCGAGACUACGCAUGGCCGUUUCGUGGUACGCACUCGCACCGGCAGCAGCAUCCUUUCUGAUUGAAGCUUUUCGCCGUCAAAACAAGCACGAGGACGAACAUAUCCGCGUCUUCUGUGAUUGCCCCUUCCCCCCCCCUCCACCGCCACCACCCUCCUUUCCCCAUUCGCACAUGAUCUCUGCUGUUCCGCUUUUCGUUCAUAUCCUGGCACUCUGCCGGCCACGGCAACUCGGCGACCAUCGUCACAACCAG
rnacentral:misc_RNA from 1 species